rnacentral:lncRNA from 1 species
AGUGUCUAAGAGAUCAAAAGAAGAAGAAGAAGAUCAACCAUCAAAGAUCUUCACGAGCUAGCACUCCCAAGGCAAUUGAUCAACAAUCAUUCUUCGUGUUGAUGAUCUGUAGAGGUCGGACAUCUUUAUGCGGCUAUGACCAACUUGAAGAAACUCCAAUUCACAUGAUACAAUUACGGAGAUUAGGAACCCAUACUUCGGUAAUGAG